rnacentral:rRNA from 1 species
UGAUAGUGCUUCACAACUACUAUCCGCCAGGGUACUACGAGCAUCAGCUUAAAACCCAAAGGACUUGGCGGUGCCCCAGACCCCCCUACAGGAGCCUGUUCUAGAACCGAUAAUGCCCGUUCAACCUCACCACCUUUUGGCCCCUGCCUAUAUACCGCCGCCGUCAGCUUACCCUGCGAGGGAGUAAUAUAAGCCAAGUUGGUACAACCAAGAACGUCAGGCGAGGUGUAGCGUAGCCAGGUGGGAACAAAAUGGGCUACAUUCCUUUACUUUAAAGGCACACGGAAGGGAUAUUGAAAUUUACCCCUGAAGGAGGAUUUAACAGUAAGCCGGGAAUAGAGUGCCC